rnacentral:misc_RNA from 1 species
GAUGAAGAACGUAGCGAAAUGCGAUAAGUAAUGCGAAUUGCAGAAUUCAGUGAAUCAUCGAAUCUUUGAACGCACAUUGCGCCCGCCAGUAUUCUGGCGGGCAUGCCUGUUCGAGCGUCAUUUCAACCAUCAAGCCCCCGGCUUGUGUUGGGGACCUGCGGCUGCCGCAGGCCCUGAAAACCAGUGGCGGGCUCGCUAGUCACUCCGAGCGUAGUAAUACAUCUCGCUCAGGGCGUGCUGCGGGUUCCGGCCGUUAAAACACCUUAUUUACCCAAGGUUGACCUCGGAUCAGGUAGGAAGACCCGCUGAACUUAAGCAUAUCAAUAAGCGGAGGA